rnacentral:misc_RNA from 1 species
GUGAUUAAAUCGAGCGUGCCUUCAUUGACCGCUCACCCUUCUCACCAUCCACAUACACCUGUGCACUGUUUAGCCUGAGCCGGUUUUCCGGUCCAGGUUAUCAUUUCAUACAAACUCUAGUCUUAUGGAUGUAAACGUUUUAAUAACAUAAUA